rnacentral:rRNA from 1 species
AUUGAACGCUGGCGGCAGGCUUAACACAUGCAAGUCGAGCGGGGUGAUGGUGCUUGCACUAUCACUUAGCGGCGGACGGGUGAGUAAUGCUUAGGAAUCUGCCUAUUAGUGGGGGACAACAUCUCGAAAGGGAUGCUAAUACCGCAUACGUCCUACGAGAGAAAGCAGGGGAUCACUUGUGACAUUGCGCUAAUAGAUGAGCCUAAGUCGGAUUAGCUAGUUGGUGGGGUAAAGGCCUACAAAGGCGACGAUCUGUAGCGGGUGUGAGAGGAUGAUCCGCCACACUGGGACUGAGACACGGCACAGACUCCUACGGGAGGCAGCAGUGGGGAAUAUUGGACAAUGGGGGGAACCCUGAUCCAGCCAUGCCGCGUGUGUGAAGAAGGCCUUAUGGUUGUAAAGCACUUUAAGCGAGGAGGAGGCUCUUUUGGUUAAUACCCAAGAUGAGUGGACGUUACUCGCAGAAUAAGCACCGGCUAACUCUGUGCCAGCCGCCGCCGUAA